rnacentral:rRNA from 1 species
GAUGAACGCUGGCGGCGUGCCUAAUACAUGCAAGUCGAGCGAACAGACGAGGAGCUUGCUCCUCUGACGUUAGCGGCGGACGGGUGAGUAACACGUGGAUAACCUACCUAUAAGACUGGGAUAACUUCGGGAAACCGGAGCUAAUACCGGAUAAUAUAUUGAACCGCAUGGUUCAAUAGUGAAAGACGGUUUUGCUGUCACUUAUAGAUGGAUCCGCGCCGCAUUAGCUAGUUGGUAAGGUAACGGCUUACCAAGGCAACGAUGCGUAGCCGACCUGAGAGGGUGAUCGGCCACACUGGAACUGAGACACGGUCCAGACUCCGACGGGAGGCAGCAGUAGGGAAUCUUCCGCAAUGGGCGAAAGCCUGACGGAGCAACGCCGCGUGAGUGAUGAAGGUCUGCGGAUCGUAAAACUCUGUUAUUAGGGAAGAACAAAUGUGUAAGUAACUAUGCACGUCUUGACGGUACCUAAUCAGAAAGCCACGGCUAACUACGG